UUCAAUUUUGUCCAUCCACCUUGCUUCAUUCAUGUGUUAUUCAUUCCAAGCCCAAAAUUGCUCCAAAAUGCAUCUUAUUGCUUUGUAAGGCCUAUGGACCUACAAACACACAAAAAUAGCUUAAAAUACAUAAUUAACUAAGAAAUAACAACAUAAAUGCAUGAGAACAAGCUAACUCAGUUGCAUAAAUAUGCUCUUAUCAAAUUCCCCCACACUUAGCUUUUGCUAGUCCUCGAGCAAAACAAAACAAACAAAACAAACAAAACACAAUCUAGAUCUUCCAAUAUUUGCCUCAGGGAUUUUUAAUGAAACAUGACAUGUUAAAAAUCAUCAUUCCAACAGAUUUUAGUCAUCUUUACACUUGAGCACAUACUUAAUCACGGUCACCACUUACUAGUUCACAAUUAACCAAUUAAAACGAUGUUUUGAAUGUAGUAACAUGCCUUAGAGAAUUUGCUCAAUUUCUUACAAGAUCCUCUCUAUUUUCACACACAUUUUCUAACUACAUACCCUACACUAGUAUAUGUGAGAAGAUUAAUGUAAACACAAAAGACUAGGACUCACAUAUGUUAUAACAAAGAAAGCAAUUUUCUGGAGUUAUUAAGCAUGUUUAGAUAUGAUCUCAUGAAUGGAAUGCUACUACUUAGAUGCGAGAACUAGUGACACCAUAUGCUCAUACCAAUUUCGAACUCUACAAAUUGAAACACACAACACUCAAGAUUGAAAUCAAGGGUUGUAACAGGGCUUAAGGGUAAUGGCUAAUAAAGAAAUGAUAGGAAUAACAAACGUUCUUAAAGCGAUAGUAAGCAAAGCAAUGAAAUAGACACUUGGAAUUCACUUUCGAAUGCAGAAUCAACUUUUAAAUACAAAGGGAAGAUUCAUGCAACAUUUAGGGCCGAAUUCAAUGUUUUGGACCCUUUUUUAACAAACUUUUUUCUUUUCACUCUUUUUUUUAUUUUUUUCUACCCGUGCCUUAUUAAGGACUUUGCCACACAUACACACACAAGAAUCACUUCCCCCACACUUGGUUUCUGCAAUACAUUGAUAAAAAGGAGUUCAUUUUAAGUCAUGCUUUACUAUGCUUCAAGAACAAGGGUAUGGAUGGUCCUA
rnacentral:lncRNA from 1 species